UACGUAGGGUGCGAGCGUUGUCCGGAAUUAUUGGGCGUAAAGAGUUCGUAGGCGGUUUGUCGCGUCGGGAGUGAAAACUCAGGGCUCAACCCUGAGCGUGCUUCCGAUACGGGCAGACUAGAGGUAUGCAGGGGAGAACGGAAUUCCUGGUGUAGCGGUGAAAUGACGCAGAUAUCAGGAGGAACACCGAUGGCGAAGGCAGGUCUCUGGGCCACUACUGACGCUGAGAAGCGAAAGCAUGGGGAGCGAACAGG
rnacentral:rRNA from 1 species